rnacentral:rRNA from 1 species
UAGAGUUUGAUCAUGGCUCAGAUUGAACGCUGGCGGCAGGCCUAACACAUGCAAGUCGAGCGGUAACAGGAAGGAAGCUUGCUUUCUUUGCUGACGAGCGGCGGACGGGUGAGUAAUGCCUAGGGAUCUGCCCAGUCGUGGGGGAUAACAGUUGGAAACGACUGCUAAUACCGCAUACGCCCUACGGGGGAAAGGAGGGGACCUUCGGGCCUUCCGCGAUUGGAUGAACCUAGGUGGGAUUAGCUAGUUGGUGAGGUAAUGGCUCACCAAGGCAACGAUCCCUAGCUGGUCUGAGAGGAUGAUCAGCCACACUGGAACUGAGACACGGUCCAGACUCCUACGGGAGGCAGCAGUGGGGAAUAUUGCACAAUGGGCGAAAGCCUGAUGCAGCCAUGCCGCGUGUGUGAAGAAGGCCUUCGGGUUGUAAAGCACUUUCAGCGAGGAGGAAAGGUUAAUAAUUAAUAACUGUUAGCUGUGACGUUACUCGCAGAAGAAACACCGGCUAACUUCGUGCCAGCAGCCGCGGUAAUACGAGGGGUGCAAGCGUUAAUCGGAAUUACUGGGCGUAAAGCGUACGCGGGCGGUUUGUUAAGCGAGAUGUGAAAGCCCCGGGCUCAACCUGGGAACUGCAUUUCGAACUGGCAAACUAGAGUCCUGUA